rnacentral:rRNA from 1 species
UACGGAGGAUGCGAGCGUUAUCCGGACUUAUUGGGUUUAAAGGGUGCGUAGGCGGAGUGCCAAGUCAGCGGUAAAAAUUCGGGGCUCAACCCCGUCGUGCCGUUGAAACUGGCGCCCUUGAGUGGGCGAGAAGUAUGCGGAAUGCGUGGUGUAGCGGUGAAAUGCAUAGAUAUCACGCAGAACCCCGAUUGCGAAGGCAGCAUACCGGCGCCCGACUGACGCUGAAGCACGAAAGCGUGGGUAUCGAACAGG